AGUGUGGUAGUUCCUCAGGAAGUUGAGAAGAAAUCUACUGCGAGAUCCAACGAUAUCACUGUUGAUCAAAUAUCCACUCUGCAUCUUACUACGGAGAUAUUGUUCAUCCAUGUCUACUGCUGCUCUAUUCAUAAUAGCAAGAAAUUUGGAAAAGCUUAGAUGUUCAUCAACUGAAAAAGACAGCUCAUGUGUGGCCGAAGAUUACUAGUUGUAUCUACUUUGAUAAUGCGACAUUAGCCCUCAACUGUUUGUGUCUUUGGCUUCCAGCAUUCUUGUGAGGAUCAGAGUCUUCAGGAGAUGGAACCUGAAUACCAAAAUCAAGUUUCUGGGAGUUGGACUUUGAAAGUUAUACCACUACUGGUUCCAAUCAGGUAUUCUCUGUUCUAGCACACAACCAUGUGAACACGCUACUGCCCCACAUCCCACGCCAUGUGAUGGACUGAACUCUACUGAAACUGAACCCAGAUCAAUCACCCCAUCCCCUGGUGCCUUGUUUCUGUCAUGCACUUUGUCACACACAGUGAUGCAAAAGUAACACAAAUAUACUCUGUUUUCUUUUUCAGUUAUUUGUCUAAAAGUGAGGAUGCAAAGAUGACAAUAUUUCAGACAAAGAGAUGCCAAAAUAUUUUCGUAAGCAAGGGAAUAUGAACUGGCCCUCGUAUUCAGGUGCCUUCUUAAUAUCAGUUUCGUUUAAGCCACCAGAGAAACAUUUGCCACAGCUAAAUAUAUAGGCAAUUAUUUAAACUCCCAUGGAACCUUCUCUAAAUCCUAGAGACACUGCAUGGAGAGGAAAGCUCCCACUACGAUAUCAUUGUUGGAACCUGUAUUUCUCAUAAAUCCUCUGGCCAGCAGACAUUUAGAGCACACUACUUAUUCAGAACAAACAUCCUAUUAUUUUAUUUUCUCAGAAUUGAGAUAAUAGAGAAAAGAUGCUUACAUAAACAAAUAUAGUAUUCUGUUUUGUGUUCCCCUCCUAAGAGAUGCUGGUUUCCUUUUGACACCUAAAUUGCCUUUUUCCCCCUCCCUGUCCUGCUGCAUUCAAAACAAGCCUUUUUAUAUUUUUAUUGAAAUAUCUCAUUAAAUUUUCAUCAUAAUACAUUGUAAAAAGUAUUUUCCUCUCAAAUACAUGUUUGGAAUUGCU